rnacentral:tRNA from 1 species
GGGCGGGUGGCGGAACUGGCAGACGCGCCAGAUUUAGGAUCUGGUCCCGAGAGGGGUGGGGGUUCGAAUCCCCCCUCGCCCACCA